UCGGCGCAGCAAUAAAAACUAACCAGGAUUCCCUUAGUAAUGGCGAGUGAAGUGGGAAGUAUACUCGUUCAGCCCAACGAUAAAAUCCAUUCUUAGCUGGCUAGGCUUCUGUCUUCCAGCUGGAAGGAAUUGUAGCAUCGUAAAAACACAACACACACACACAACACACUGUGAUAGUGUCAAUGUUGUAUCUAUUCAACGUAACCAUUGCAUUUUUAUACAUACUUACCCAAACACACAGCGUUUAGCGCUGGAAAGCAAGUCUAUUACAUGCCAUAGAGUGUGACAGCCACGUUUGCCUUUGGUAAACUUAUACUUUACACACGCAAUGUUACAAGAUACGUAAUGCAUUCGAUCUAAACAAAAACAAAACACUUUAAACCUGAGUCGAGUUGUUUGGGACUACAGCUCAAAUUGUUUGGUGGUGGUAAUGACACAUCAAAGGCUAAAUAUUGGUGUUUAAUACGAUUGCAACGGAGACCGAUAGCAAACAAGUACCGUAAGGGAACGAUGAAAAGCACCCUUUUUAGCACGUCGU
rnacentral:rRNA from 1 species